CAUUGUUAAUAAAUGAGACCUGACUCAUGGCGUAACAUAGGACGUCGAUUUUGGCGUUAACAUAUUGGACACGGACUUAAUAAUAUGAUUAUACAUUGGACGUCAAUUUGAGAAACGGGCGUCGAUUUGAGACCGGAUCAUAGCUGAAUGAACCUCAGAUUCAAUGUUCAGCUACUGCUAUUACAAAAAAAAGAUUACAGCGCAAUGAUUUAAAAGUAGUAACCAUUAUGAGGUGUAUAAGUUCGUCAGGCAGGCCUAUCUGAUGUUGUACUCAUUUAAUGAAUCAGUGAUCAGUAUUGAUUAACGUAGGAUUUUGUGGCCGAGUACCUUUUUUUUUAAACAUGGAAAAAAAAGAAAUAUAAUGUGAGUUGUGAUUAUUUUUAGAGAUGAUCGUAAGCUAGGUUGAAUUAACAUGUUCAUCACAUUUAUUGUUCAUCGAUCAUAAUUUCAGGUUCAUGUUACAUGUAAGUUCGAUAAAAUUAUAAAAAAAAACGACUAAGCAUAAAAAAGAACGAGAAACGACAAAAAGGUACCUAACAUUGCACAAAAUCCAUCAUAAAUACGCAAAGACUGAACAACACAUACCCCACCGAGAAUGGGGGUGAUAUCAGAUGUGCAGAUGUUUCGAUUAAUAUCAGUCAGAAGUCAUUUGUAUAUAUACUAACAAUCUUUAUUUUUCAUAUAAGUAACAUUAUACUUGUGACAUAAACAAAAAUAACAACAACAAAAAA
rnacentral:lncRNA from 1 species